rnacentral:rRNA from 1 species
CUGGAAUCCUGAAGAGAUUUGGGAGUGCUCGAAAGAGAACCAGAACACAGGUGCUGCAUGGCCGUCGUCAGCUCGUGUCGUGAGAUGUUGGGUUAAGUCCCGCAACGAGCGCAACCCUUGUCAUUAGUUGCUACGAAAGGGCACUCUAAUGAGACUGCCGGUGACAAACCGGAGGAAGGUGGGGAUGACGUCAGGUCCUCAUGGCCCUUAUGGGUAGGGCUACACACGUCAUACAAUGGCCGGUACAGAGGGCUGCCAACCCGCGAGUGGGAGCCAAUCCCAGAAAACCGGUCGUAGUCCGGAUCGUAGUCUGCAACUCGACUGCGUGAAGUCGGAAUCGCUAGUAAUCGCGGAUCAGCUUUGCGCGGUGAAUACGUUCCCGGGUCUUGUACACACCGCCCGUCACACCAUGGGAGCGGGUUCUGCCAGAAGUAGUUAGCCUAACCCGCAGGAUGGCGAUUACCACGGCAGGGUUCGUGACUGGGGUGAAGUCGUAAC